CUUAGUAUAUUAUGCCGUUUCCGGUCCCUUGAGGUAAGCAGGUUAGCCUGAGAUGCGCGAUGCCGUCUGCAAUUGUGCAUCUUCCAAUAGUCCAUCGAACCAUUUCACAACACCUCAUCAUGCCAAUGCCAACAAAGCAGCAGGGCAGGGUGGCAUACCGUGUUCCUAGGCCCUACCGAAGAACCGAAAGGAAGGGGCUUGCCUUGCUGCCCUGAACCCAUAGCAGAAUAGGAAGUCGACUGCCGGCCCUCAACGGUGCACUCCCGGCUAAGAGUAAUGCCCUGCUUCCAGCUAAGUAUAAAGAGUUGGGCCUACCGUUCGCGAAUUCACUCUUGGUGGCGAACCGUUAGUUAAGACCCCCUACGAGUGAACUUGGGUAAGGGCUUUUAAAGCUGGAUAAGGCGCGCAAACCGACGUUCUUCCUGUCGGAAACCACACUCAUCAAGCUUGACCUCGACUAACCUACGAUGAUUCUGGCAGCCAUAAUCGCAGGAACACAUGAGUAGCGAAAGACUAAGCCGCUCAUGCUAUGCUGCACCAACCAAUUCACACCUAUUCGGGAGAGGGUUUUGCCUCGAAUAGAGCUCUCGUACGCUCUGCCGAACGAAGACACCGGUCAAGAAAAGAAGAGGCUCCCUUCGGUGGGGACAAGGUAAAGAACUCCGCAGCUAGCGAGCCAAAGGGGAUGGAUCGUGGCGGGAAUUUCAGGCGCAGACAUCUGAGCCUGUUCAGAGACUGAACGCUAAGUCAAUCCACAAUCAAUUGAGAAAGCAACUCACAAUUUCGCUCCGCAUCAGUACCUUGUUGACUCAUGCUGCCCUGUAUUUUCUUUACUUCUGGUCGUCCCCAAACGUCGACCUAACGCUAUGUCAGGGUCACAACGGGCCGGCCUCAUGAGAUUAACUUUUUUAUAGAAUAUUGCUAAGUGUCCUUCCAACCAUCGACUUAUCCGGUCCCGCACGGAUGCUUCUAGCAAUUUCUCGCGUCUAUUGAAGCCUACCUUAUAUAGGCUAAUUCCAUUCGAUCUACUGCUGUCAGGUUUCAUCUCGUUGCAAUGUCAUCCGUCCCUGUCACUCUGGAAGAGGUAAAAAAAGCAGUCACUAGUAUGGGAGCUUACAAGGCGCCGGGCCCCGACGGCUUCCAGCCGGUAUUUUAUCAACAUUGCUUGGACACAAUCAUCGGAUCUGAUUUAAUACGAAUGGUCCAGCUAGCUUUCGAGACGGCCACAUUAGAAAACCAGAUCAAUGCUACCCACCUAGUGCUCAUUCCGAAAACCCAAGCUCCGCAAUCGCUCAACCAAUACCGCCCCAUCCGCCUAUGUAACGUCGCGUAGAAAAUUAUAACAAAGGUGAUAACGAACCGUCUAAGAAAGAUCAUGCCCAAACUGAUUUCACCUGCUCAAAGCGCCUUCGUCCCCGGCAGGCUUAUAUCAGAUAAGAUUUUCAUUACCCACGAGGUGCUUUCCCAUUUACGACGGUCGAAGGCAAAGAAGGGUUGUAUGUGUAUCAAGUUGGACAUCGAAAAGGCAUACGACAGUCUGAAUUUGGACUUCCUUGAGACUAUACUAUAUAAAAAGGGAUUUUAUUCCCAUUGGAUUCGUCUGGUAAUGACAUGUGUACGGACCCCAACCUUCUCAGUACUAGUUAACGGAACUCAGACUGAUUCAUUCAAACCUACACGAGGCUUACGUCAGGGGGACCCUCUCCCCCCGUACCUCUUCAUCCUGUGCGCGGAAACACUGUCAGCGGCUAUCCACAAGGCAACCGAACUAGAUCUAGCUGACCCCAUCAGAGUGUCCAGAUCGGGCCCACCACUAUCACAUUUAGUGUUUUCCGACAAGACCAUAAUUUUCAUACGCGCAAACCAGAAGUCUUGCCGGACAAUCAAGCAAAUACUGGACCUGGACCACAUGGAAUCGGGCCAGAAGGUCAAUCUUUCCAAAUCUGUUGCCAAUUUAUCCACAGGAGUCCCAAACAGGAAGAAGGAAGUCUUAAAAAAACUGCUAGGUAUCACAAAGACAUCGCCAAUGCAGUCCUACUUGGGCAUUUCCCCUCUGACGCGUAGGCCAUCGCGUAACGAAUUUAAGGCAACUGUAAGCAGAGUAGAAAAUCGCCUUCAAGGUUGGAAAGCUCAACUGUUAACUUUUGCUGGUCGCCUUACGCUCAUAAAAUAAGUCACGGCUGGCAUAUCCAACCACAGAAUGAGCUCUUUCAAGAUACCAUUAUCAACAGUUGACCACCUGGAGUCUUUACAAAGAGACUUUCUGUGGUCAAAUGGGAACAAAGGAAAAAUCUAUGCGGUAAACUGGCAAACGGUAUGUCAGCCUUUGGACGAAGGAGGUCUAGGCAUUCGGUCUCUUUACUUAACUUAACAAACCAAGCAUUCCAGGCUAAGCUCCUCUGGUGCCUCCUCCCGUGUACGGACUCACUUUGAUGUGACGUCAUGCGAGCCAAAUCUUUCCCCCACGGCAACCCUCUAGAUGCGGGCAUUCCAUCCAAUAAUUCCUCAUACGCAUGGAGAUCAAUUGGGGACGACUUUCGUCGGGAAGGACGGUCUGUCCCAGAACCAAUAAGAGCAGAAGGCAAAGUAGUGUCAAUUCCACCGGACAAGGAAUAUUGAAGAGUAAAAGAAUAAUGAGCUCUUUCAUCCGCUAAGGCAUCAUAAGAAAGAUAGGCAGAAAGAUAUGCUGAAAGAGGCCGCCCUGAAGCUGGUGAAAAUUGGGCCGUAGAUCAUGACCAUAGCUUUCCUCGCAGCACCGAACUCUAAGCGAGUGGUUCUUCACGAAGAAUUGUUGGCAUGCCUCCAGCGGGACUAUAGGACAGCAAAAGUCGAAGCUUAUGAAUGAGGUUCGACUUUCCACACCAAAAGUCUCUUCCUAUCUUGUCCCAAGGCAGAUCCAAAGCCAGUGGCUUACCUAAGAGCAUGACCGCUAAGCAUUGCUGCUUUCUAUUCUCGCGCGGAUCUUGAAUCUAAAACACUCUUCAAUACUGUUUGGAAAGUCGUCUUGUAUUGAUCUUCUUUUUUCCUGGACAGACUAAAGGUAGAAUGGGCCUCUGUGCUUACUGCUCCUGCCGGGCUUGGUACUGUUGACGAGUCUGGACUUGCCCCUGUUGCUGAACCGGAAGAAGCUUUCUUCUAUAGCUUGACUUCGCUUGUCACAUUUCUCGUUUUGUUCCAGUCCCCCACUAGGAAAAAAUUCUAUUUAAGUGACGGCGGGAUGUAAGGCUCUGGUUCAGUACAUAGACUACUCUUAAAAAAAUGUAUUGAGCCAGGGUGUCAUCAUUCUUUGAAAGAGUAAUCUCCUUCCUUUCCUUCUCUGACCGAUCAAGAUAGCUUGUAAUUCAUUGAUCUGAGGGACGAGAUAUAGUAUCUAACUCAAAACAACUCUGAGAUUUCGUAUAAUUGUGAUGUUCCUACAAACGUGCGGCCUUCCUUUGAGACUGACUCCAUCUUCCCACCACGCUGUAGCAGGGCGAAAUCUCUGAUAGGUGCUGGUUCUCUUCCUCCCAAUUCGAGGAUCGCCGUGAAGCUCCGUUUUUAAAGCGUAGAACAAGCCUUUCUUUCUGAUCCCAAGUACCCGGCCCCAAGGGGUCGGAAGGCCCCAUUUCCCUACCAAGAUCUGGCCAUAUAAUGAAAGUUUUCACGCUCUUCCGAAAAGAGGAGAUUUUGGUCUUGACUUCAUACCCACCAAACGGAGUUUUUUAGUAUACUAAGGAUGACCCAUAUCGAGAAAGGGCCCGUGCUGGUACCGUACCAUUGAAGAGUGAAAUCCCGCCCCUGAUCAUGCCUCGAAGAAGGCAAUUCACGAGGAAAGGUCCCACUCAGACAUUCAGACACACACAAACACAAAGAUGACAACCGGGGCACGUUGCUAAGGAUAGGCUCCUGCUUUGACUAUAGAAUAGAUGAGCGUAGUACAACGCUCUGUGAUGUGGCUCUGCUUCCGAGGGUUAGGUCAAGGGUCGGUCGAGAACAGCUACCUUCCCGAUAGGUCGAUCCAGACUUUGAAAAGUAGCAUAGAAUAUUGCUUCGACUGCUUCGAUAUCAGAAAAAAUCAGACUCAGAGUUGGGACCUUCUGACUCUUUCCUCUGCAAGGACAGUACGAGUCUGCCGGUUCCACUUUCCUUUUUGUGGUAGUCGACGGGAAAUGGGCGC
rnacentral:lncRNA from 1 species